GCAGGCAUGGUCUAGUGGCUAUGACGCUCGCCUCACACGCGAGAGAUCCCGGGUUCGAUCCCCGGUGCCUGUA
rfam:Eimeria necatrix Houghton genomic scaffold, Enh_scaff25